AGGAAGAACCAUAGAGAGAGAAGGGAAGGAGAAUCUCUAGAGAAGGUGUCAAUAUUCAAAGUGGUGAAGAAGUAGCUAUUAAACUGCCACCACAAAAGCAACCAAAGACGACGACCUUUCUUUCAUUUUUUCAGAUGCCACAACAAGCUCAAGAAAAGUCUUGAAAAACAACAGACAGGCAAAAGUUCGAGUCCAAGGGUAUUCCAGUAAUUCUUCACCUGGGUAUCAUCAAUAUAUGCUGCAAUGUUGUUUUCUGGGCCUACGUUUUGCUUCGGAUAUGGCUGUUGAAGGCCCCAUUCUGGGUUGCUUGGAUGGUGCAAAAGUCUCAUUACUCGGUACCAAAUAAAGGGACUAAAGGCCUGUUUCCUAACUGGGCUGAUAAUUUGGAUCUCAACUACCGGUUUCGGACGAAGGCCCCAAAUGGGUGCCAGCAGUUAAUGGGCCUAGGUGUCUAUGCAUACUUGAAGACCCAUAGUGGUUCUCAACCUGAACCAACCCGGGCCCGUUUUCAUGUUGUUAGCUUAGCAAUCCAUCUACACUUCAUGAGACUGUUGUGGAAGUGCCCAAUGUAAGAUGGGAAGACAUUGGCGGCCUCAAGAAUGCUAAAUGAGAGCUGCAAGAGUAAUAUGCUUCUCAGGUUUUUUACUCAUCACUGUGUAAGGGAUCGACUCUCAUUUCCGGUUGUAGUGCACAUUUGAAGAGUAUCUAAUGCUAGACAUUUGGAGGAUUAAUCAAUAAACAAGUCCCUUCAUGCUAAAGACUUGAAUAAAAGAUUGCGGUUUUGCAUCUGGAUCCAACAUACAUGAUCCGGGCUGUUCCAAGUAAUGCGUAUGAUAGUAUCUAUUGCACACUUCUUGCUUAAAGUGCCGUUCAUGGGGCCAUGGCCAUACUCGGGUUUCACUAUGGGACCUGUGAACAGCACAUACGCAUACCGCAUAUCCAAACGCGUAUAUUCCAAUUGAGGUAAGCGCACAUACGCAUACCGCAUAUCCAAACGCGUAUAUCACCCGACUCAUUAGUUUUGAUGUGCAUGUAUUGCAGCGUGUA